rnacentral:misc_RNA from 1 species
UUUAACAUGACCCAGCAGCCAAUAACGCUAUCUAUCAAAGAAACAAAAAUGACCCAACUCGCCAAGCGGACGUUGCAGUCAUCUGUCAGGCGCAAGCUUGACGCCUUGAACCCAUGGAGAAAAGGAGCUCAAGGUCAGGAGGUUGAAAGUAGCCAUUCUUGGGUGGCUCCUUCUUCUUCUUUCCAACUGCUAUAUAUGGCUUCUUCUUUGGUGGUGGCGGGGACACCUUCGGCUCUGGUAUUCUGCACUCUCCGCGACUAGGGGUGAAGCAACCAUAUUCACCGUCGCUCUCCGCCAUCGUCAUCAACUUUUCACCGGACCCUUCUCUUUUCAUUCCCCAAUAAUCUCUGAAACCUACUUUAAUCGAUG